GAAAGGCCCCUUCGGGGGUACUCGAGUGGCGAACGGGUGAGUAACACGUGGGCAAUCUGCCCUGCACUUCGGGAUAAGCCUGGGAAACUGGGUCUAAUACCGGAUAGGACCUUUAGGCGCAUGUCUUUAGGUGGAAAGCUUUUGCGGUGUGGGAUGGGCCCGCGGCCUAUCAGCUUGUUGGUGGGGUGAUGGCCUACCAAGGCGACGACGGGUAGCCGGCCUGAGAGGGUGUCCGGCCACACUGGGACUGAGAUACGGCCCAGACUCCUACGGGAGGCAGCAGUGGGGAAUAUUGCACAAUGGGCGCAAGCCUGAUGCAGCGACGCCGCGUGGGGGAUGACGGCCUUCGGGUUGUAAACCUCUUUCACCAUCGACGAAGGUCCGGGUUUUCUCGGAUUGACGGUAGGUGGAGAAGAAGCACCGGCCAACUACGUGCCAGCAGCCGCGGUAAUACGUAGGGUGCGAGCGUUGUCCGGAAUUACUGGGCGUAAAGAGCUCGUAGGUGGUUUGUCGCGUUGUUCGUGAAAUCUCACGGCUUAACUGUGAGCGUGCGGGCGAUACGGGCAGACUAGAGUACUGCAGGGGAGACUGGAAUUCCUGGUGUAGCGGUGGAAUGCGCAGAUAUCAGGAGGAACACCGGUGGCGAAGGCGGGUCUCUGGGCAGUAACUGACGCUGAGGAGCGAAAGCGUGGGGAGCGAACAGGAUUAGAUACCCUGGUAGUCCACGCCGUAACGGUGGGUACUAGGUGUGGGUUUCCUUCCUUGGGAUCCGUGCCGUAGCUACGCAUUAAGUACCCCGCCUGGGGAGUACGGCCGCAAGGCUAAAACUCAAGGAUUGACGGGGCCCGCACAAGCGGCGGAGCAUGUGGAUUAAUUCGAUGCAACGCGAGAACCUUACCUGGGUUUGACAUGCACAGGACGCGUCUAGAGAUAGCGUCUGCUGUG
rnacentral:rRNA from 1 species